rnacentral:rRNA from 1 species
UACGGAGGGUGCAAGCGUUGUUCGGAUUUACUGGCGUAAGCGCGCGCAGGUGGGUGAACAAGUCGGAAGUGAAAUCUUGAGGCUCAACCUCGAGGCUUGCUCCCGAAACUGUUCGCCUAGGGACUGGUAGAGGCUGGUAGAAUUCCCGGUGUAGGCGGUGGAAUGCGUAGAGAUCGGGAAGAAUACCCGUGGCGUAAGGCGGCCAGCUGGGCCAGAUCCGGACACUGAGG